rnacentral:rRNA from 1 species
GUGGGGAAUAUUGCACAAUGGGCGCAAGCCUGAUGCAGCAACGCCGCGUGAGGGAUGACGGCCUUCGGGUUGUAAACCUCUUUUGUCAGGGAAGAAGCCCUUUGGGGUGACGGUACUUGGAGAAAAAGCUCCGGCUAACUACGUGCCAGCAGCCGCGGUAAUACGUAGGGAGCGAGCGUUGUCCGGAAUUAUUGGGCGUAAAGAGCUCGUAGGCGGCUUGUCGCGUCUGUCGUGAAAUCCUCAGGCUCAACCUGGGGCUUGCGGUGGGUACGGGCAGGCUAGAGUGCGGUAGGGGAGAUUGGAAUUCCUGGUGUAGCGGUGGAAUGCGCAGAUAUCAGGAGGAACACCGAUGGCGAAGGCAGAUCUCUGGGCCGUGACUGACGCUGAGGAGCGAAAGCAUGGGGAGCGAACAGGAUUAGAAACCCUAGUAGUCC